CCUACGGGACGCAGCAGUGAGGAAUAUUGGUCAAUGGGAGAGAUCCUGAACCAGCCAAGCCGCGUGAGGGAAGACGGCCCUAUGGGUUGUAAACCUCUUUUGUCGGAGAACAAAACCCGGGACGUGUCCCGGACUGCGUGUAUCCGAAGAAAAAGCAUCGGCUAACUCCGUGCCAGCAGCCGCGGUAAUACGGAGGAUGCGAGCGUUAUCCGGAUUUAUUGGGUUUAAAGGGUGCGUAGGCGGUCCGUUAAGUCAGCGGUAAACUUGCGGGGCUCAACCCCGUCGAGCCGUUGAAACUGGCAGACUUGAGUUGGCGAGAAGUACGCGGAAUGCGCGGUGUAGCGGUGAAAUGCAUAGAUAUCGCGCAGAACUCCGAUUGCGAAGGCAGCGUACCGGCGCCAGACUGACGCUGAGGCACGAAAGCGUGGGGAUCGAACAGGAUUAGAUACCCCAGUAGUC
rnacentral:rRNA from 1 species